CUUUCUCGGCCUUUUGGCUAAGAUCAAGUGUAGUAUCUGUUCUUAUCAGUUUAAUAUCUGAUACGUGGGCCAAUGGCCCACAACGAUAUUAAAUUUAUUUUUUAAGGGGGAAGUUCCACCACACUAGCUUGCUAUUGGGAACUUCACGCGUCGCCUAUGCGUUGCACUACUGCACUGGCCUGGCACACCCCACCAAUUCAUAGUCCUAUUUUUUUUUUUUCAAUAAGUCGAAUAUUUACUGCUGGUCCAGUUAUUCUUAUUUGUGAAUAGUUCCCACAUCGCACAAGCUUAAUGAUUUCGAAAGCAAAUAUUCUAUAUAUACUAUACCACCUCACUCUUUGAUUAACACGUGAGUUUCUUGGUUAAAAGUGGAGUAAACCCUAUUUAUUUGGGUACCUCUCAACAGAGGUUCUAUUAUCAUUAUAGGGGGCAAAAAGCCCCCUUCCAAUUUAAGUUCUAAAAUUUAGAAGAUUUUUAUCAUUAAUGAAAAUUUUGUUGAAGGAAAGAAUUUCGGUGCUUACUCAACGAGCAAGGGACAAGUGCUCCUCAGUUCGUGGCGAUUCUCCAAAAGGGCAACAUAAUUCUAGUGAUAAUGAUCAAGACAUUGUAUACUCUUUAUCGGAUUGUCUAGUUGAAACUGGAAAUGUUUUUUCAACCAUUUCCAAUUUGAGGGGGAUGUUGGAAUAUAUAAAUUAAAUGGUUACAAGUUUAGUUGUUAAGUUCAUAAAAUGUUUGUUACAAACAUCAUUAGUAACAACUAACUAAUAGUUUAUUGUAAAAUAUAAAUAGUACAAUAGUAUUUGUAACUGUACUCAAUUUAAUAAUAACUAAAUGUAGUUCUUGUUUUCUCUCUCCUCUCUCCCAUCUCCUUUACUACUCCUAUACACGAGCUCCUUCAAUGGCUCCUUUAUUCUCUCUUCAUCAUUCUCUUCCUCCUUAAACACAACGAAAUUUAACACCAUUAUAAUCUUGCUCUAGUUCUUCGAGGAUAUGGUUGCCAAAGAGUGAAGUUAUUGUGAUCAUAUUUGCUAUUGUUUUCACAGCAGCAGUUGCAUGCUUGGUAAUGAUCUAUAUCAUGUUGAGAAUAUGAACUACUUGGAGAAAAGUUGCUGUAUCUAGUUAAUUUUUUUUUUCAUAUGUAUAAAUUCCUCUUCUCUUAUUCUUCUUGUCAGUUCAGUGAGGAGAAAACUUUUAGUUACUGGAUUUAGAGUCUCGUGUUCUAGUCUUCUAGUUCUAGAGAUGUGUAAAAAUUCAUUUUCAGUUUGCUGAUAAUUGAUGUUAUUUUUCUUAUGUGAUUCUGUAUAGCUUUGAUUAAUUAUCAAAGGAUUUGAAAAAAUGAACUAAUAUACUGCAUUGCAAAUGUGUAGGACGAGCUGUUUUUGCUGAUCUUCCAACAUGUGGUUCAUCAAAGUUAUCUCUAACUCUUUUUAAAUUUUAACAUGUGUUUUUUUUUUCCCGACGAUGUCUCGGAUAAGUUACAAUAAACAAAUAUGUUAUUAUUUAUAAAUUUCAUAAUCUAUUUUGCUAUUUUUCGUA